rnacentral:rRNA from 1 species
CGGGAAUUCGAUUCAGGCCUAACACAUGCAAGUCGAGCGGGGUUUUCGGACCUAGCGGCGGACGGGUGAGUAAUGCGUAGGAAGCUACCCGAUAGAGGGGGAUACCAGUUGGAAACGACUGUUAAUACCGCAUAAUGUCUACGGACCAAAGUGUGGGACCUUCGGGCCACAUGCUAUCGGAUGUGCCUACGUGGGAUUAGCUAGUUGGUGAGGUAAUGGCUCACCAAGGCGACGAUCCCUAGCUGGUUUGAGAGGAUGAUCAGCCACACUGGAACUGAGACACGGUCCAGACUCCUACGGGAGGCAGCAGUGGGGAAUAUUGGACAAUGGGCGCAAGCCUGAUCCAGCCAUGCCGCGUGUGUGAAGAAGGCCUUCGGGU